rnacentral:pre_miRNA from 1 species
GAUUUCAACUAAAAAAGUCAUCAACAACAAAGUUGUAUAAAUCAUCAAGAUCUAUAACUUUUAUUUUUGUCAUUUCUUCAUCCGACAAAGUGUUAGUAACAUUGUUGACAAAAUUGACAUAUCUGUGUUAUAUUUUAUAAAACUAGAUGAGAGAUAUGUGAAUUUUGUGAACAAUGCUACUAUCACUAUGUCGGAUGAAGAAAUGACCAAAAUAAAAGUUAUAGAACUUGAUGAGUUAUACGACUUUGUUGUUGAUGACUUUUUCAGUUGAAAUC